rnacentral:rRNA from 1 species
UACGAAGGGGGCUAGCGUUGCUCGGAAUCACUGGGCGUAAAGCGCACGUAGGCGGAUUGUUAAGUCAGGGGUGAAAUCCUGGAGCUCAACUCCAGAACUGCCUUUGAUACUGGCGAUCUCGAGUCCGGGGAGAGGUGAGUGGAACUGCGAGUGUAGAGGUGAAAUUCGUAGAUAUUCGCAAGAACACCAGUGGCGAAGGCGGCUCACUGGCCCGGUAUUGACGCUGAGGUGCGAAAGCGUGGGGAGCAACAGG